AAAAAAAAAGAGAGAAAGAGCAAGAGAGAGAGAGAGAGAGAGAGAGAGAAGCGCAGCAGCAAACCAGAGGAUCGAGCGAUCAUGCAGCACAUCCCACAGCUUAUGUCACUAGAACUCAGCACUCACACAUCUGGACAAAAAGGACUCAUACGUCAGAAUGCUCUUCAUAAAUUUCAGUUCAGCAUUCAACGCAUUCAUCCCUCAACAGCAAUGGCAGCAACAGAUCCAGCACCAUCACACUGAACACUGGGGUCCCCCAAGGAUGUGUGCUUAGCCCCCUCCUCUUCACUCUGCACACCCUCACACAACUCCAACCUCUUCAUUAAGUUUGCGGAUUACCAGGGGCAGUUCUAGAGGCGGGGCCACAGGGGCCCUGGUCCCUGCUGAAAUCUGAUUGGCCCCUGAUUGGCCCCCGUUCCAUCAAUCGUUGACGAGAAGAGCAACCGGAGAAUUCUUCACAACGAUCACAGAUGCAAUUCCACCCCCAAACAAUUGCCGGCACUCGGGGCAGUAAUGUGUCGAUGCAACUUGGGAGAAGAAGCAGAGGUCUUGGCUUUAUAUUAUAUUUGCCUGAAACUUUGGCUGUGAAUGGCUUUGGCUUGAGCGAUACCAGAACAUUCUCAGACGUUAUGCCAGUAGGGGGGAGAAAGAAUCUAUCUAUCUAUCCAACUUGAAGACAAUUCUUGAAAAAUCCUAGAACCGCCACUGCGGAGGACACGACUGUGGUGGGUCGUCUCAUUAGCAACAAAGAUGAGACAAACUACAGGAGCGAGGUGAGCCGCCUGUCCGGGUGGUGCAGUGACAACAAUCUCUCUCUGAACAUUGAGAAGA